UACGUAGGGUGCAAGCGUUGUCCGGAAUUAUUGGGCGUAAAGAGCUCGUAGGCGGUUCGUCGGGUCGGCUGUGAAAUCCCGGAGCUCAACUCCGGGUCUGCAGUCGAUACGGGCGGACUUGAGUACUGCAGGGGAGACUGGAAUUCCUGGUGUAGCGGUGAAAUGCGCAGAUAUCAGGAGGAACACCGGUGGCGAAGGCGGGUCUCUGGGCAGUAACUGACGCUGAGGAGCGAAAGCGUGGGGAGCGAACAGG
rnacentral:rRNA from 1 species